CAGUCGCCGCGGGAAUACGUAGGGUGCAAGCGUUAAUCGGAAUUACUGGGCGUAAAGCGUGCGCAGGCGGUUUUGUAAGACAGAGGUGAAAUCCCCGGGCUCAACCUGGGAACUGCCUUUGUGACUGCAAGGCUAGAGUACGGCAGAGGGGGAUGGAAUUCCGCGUGUAGCAGUAAAAUGCGUAGAUAUGCGGAGGAACACCGAUGGCGAAGGCAAUCCCCUGGGCCUGUACUGACGCUCAUGCACGAAAGCGUGGGGAGCAAACAGGAUUAGAUACCCCGGUAGUCCCUGUCUUUUAUAC
rnacentral:rRNA from 1 species